rnacentral:rRNA from 1 species
GAUGAACGCUGGCGGCGUGCCUAAUACAUGCAAGUAGAACGCUGAAGGAAGGAGCUUGCUCUUUCCGUCUGAGUUGCUAACGGGUGAGUAACGCGUAUGUAACCUGCCUGGUAUCGGGGGAUAACUAUUGGAAACGAUAGCUAAUACCGCAUAACAGUAGAUGUUGCAUGAUAUCUACUUAAAAGGUGCAAUUUCACCACUACCAGAUGGACCUUCGUUGUAUUAGCUAGUUGGUGAGGUAACGGCUCACCAAGGCGACGAUACAUAGCCGACCUGAGAGGGUGAUCGGCCAAAAUGGGACUGAGCCACGGCACAGACUCCUACGGGAGGCAGCAGUAGGGAAUCGUAGGAAAUGGACGGAAGUCUGACCGAGAAACGCCGAGUGAGUGAAGAAGGUUGUCGGAUCGGAAAGCUCUGUUGUAAGAGAAGAACGAGUGUGAGAGUGGAAAGUUCACACUGUGACGGUAGCUUACCAGAAAGGGACGGCUAACUACGUG